rnacentral:rRNA from 1 species
AGAGUGACAGGUUGGUGCAUGGUUGUCGUCAGCUCGUGUCCGUGAGAUGUUGGGUUAAAGUCCCGCAACGAGCGCAACCCUUGAUCUUAGUUGCCAUCAUUUAGUUGGGCACUCUAAGGUGACUGCCGGUGACAAACCGGAGGAAGGUGGGGAUGACGUCAAAUCAUCAUGCCCCUUAUGACCUGGGCUACACACGUGCUCCCCCUCCCCCGUACAAAGAGCUGCAAGACCGCGAGGUGGAGCUAAUCUCAUAAAACCGUUCUCAGUUCGGAUUGUAGGCUGCAACUCGCCUACAUGAAGCUGGAAUCGCUAGUAAUCGCGGAUCAGCAUGAAACGGUG